GAAGUCAUUUUGGCGCAGUCGUAGCGUGUCGGGUUGACAACUCACUGGUCACCGGUUCGAUGUCGCCGGUGGUUUCG